GAUGAACGCUGGCGGCGUGCCUAAUACAUGCAAGUCGAGCGAACGGACGAGAAGCUUGCUUCUCUGAUGUUAGCGGCGGACGGGUGAGUAACACGUGGAUAACCUACCUAUAAGACUGGGAUAACUUCGGGAAACCGGAGCUAAUACCGGAUAAUAUUUUGAACCGCAUGGUUCAAAAGUGAAAGACGGUCUUGCUGUCACUUAUAGAUGGAUCCGCGCUGCAUUAGCUAGUUGGUAAGGUAACGGCUUACCAAGGCAACGAUGCAUAGCCGACCUGAGAGGGGUAAUCGCCACGCUGGAAAUGAGGACAGGUCCAGUGUCCUAAGGGAUGCAGCAGUUGGGGAUCUUGCGAAAUGGGCGGAAGCCUGAAGGGGCAACGCCGCGUGAGGGAAGAAGGUCUUCGGAUCGUAAAACGCUGUUAGUAGGGAAGAACAUAUGUGUAAGUAACUGUGCACAUCUUGACGGUACCGAAUCAGAAAGCCACGGCUAACUACGU
rnacentral:rRNA from 1 species